rnacentral:misc_RNA from 1 species
AAUCAAACUGAUGCAGAAAAAUCACCUUUAGAGACUUGUAAACAAAUUUUUGUCCAAUAUUUGAGCAUGCCGUUGAGUUUAGCAAAGAAAAAUGUGACAGAGACGCCAAAGAAACUUAAAGGGAGAAGAUCUGUGGUUAGUAUAGAAAAAAAAUGGAUAUUGAUACUGAAGAUACCCUAUAUGCAAUACCAGAAGUAGUUUUAACCAGGUGUAAAGUGGAUUCCAGACAAUUCCAAAGUCUGGAAUAUGGUUUUAUCGAAUCCUGGAAUGCUCACAUACAAAGUAUAGUCGAAGUUCAGAAAUU